rnacentral:rRNA from 1 species
CCACCGAGAUCUACACUAUCCUCUUCGUCGGCAGCGUCAGAUGUGUAUAAGAGACAGGUGCAGCAGUUAGGAAUCGUGUCCAAUGCGCGAAAGCGUGAGGCCGCGAACCCGAGUGCUAGGGAUACCCCUAGCUGUGAUGGAGUGUGUAAAACUCCGGCAGCAAGCAGAGGGCAAGGCUGGUGCCAGCCGCCGCGGUAAAACCAGCUCUGCGAGUGUCCUGGACUAUUAUUGGGCUUAAAGCAUCCGUAGCUGGUUUGUUGGGUCUCUGGUUAAAUCUACAAGCUUAACUUGUAGGCCGUCAGAGAUACCGUCAAACUAGGGAAUAGGAUAGGUGAGCGGUACGAUUGGAGAAGCGGUGAAAUGCGUUGAUUCCUAUCGGACCCACAGUGGCGAAGGCGGCUCACUGGAAUAUCUCCGACAGUGAUGGAUGAAAGCCAGGGUAGCGAAGGGGAUUAGAGACCCCCGUAGUCCUGGCCGUAAACUAUGAGGACUAGGUGUUGGUCAAGGCCAAGAGCCUGAUCAGUGCCAAAGGGAAACUAUUAAGUCCUCCGCCUGGGGAGUACGGUCGCAAGGCUGAAACUUAAAUGAAUUGACGGGAAAGCGCCACAAGGCACGGGAUGUGUGGUUUAAUUCGACUCAACGCGAGGAAGCUCACCUGGGGCGACUGACGUAUGUGAGUCAAGCUGAAGACUUUACUCGAACAAGUCAGAGAGGUAGUGCAUGGCCGUCUCAAGCUCGUGCCGUGAGGUGUGCUCUUAAGUGAGUAAACGAGCGAGACCCGCGCCCCUAUUUGCUAAGAGCAGGCUACGGCCUGGCUGAGGACAAUAGGGGGAUCGCUAUUGAUGAAAAUAGAUGAAAGUGCGGGCCACGGCAGGUCAGUAUGCUCCAAAUCCCCAGGGCCACACACGCAUCACAAUGAACGGGACAAUGAGAAGCGACUCCGAAAGGAGAAGCAGAUCUCCAAACCUGUUCGCAGUAGGGAUUGAAGUCUGGAACCGACUUCAUGAACAUGGAGCGCCUAGUAUCCGCGUGUCAUCAACGCGCGGAGAAUACGUCCCCGCUUUUUGUACACACCGCCCGUCGUUGCAACGAAGUGAGGUUCGGUUGAGGUCGAGCAGUCUCUGU